UACUUUUCUAAUACUUUUUUCCCACACACGCUCUUUCUUACUCUCUGUCUCUCUCUCUCUACACGCUCUCUUCGGCUCUCCAGUUAAUCAACGGCGCCGGCGAAAUCAAAUCCAACGGCACCGGCAAAAUCAACGACUGUUCUUCAUCAGGGGCUCAAUCCGAACCAAAUGAUGAGGCUAAGCGCUUUUAUGGACAACUAGAGGAAGCUAGUCGCCCACUGUAUGAAGGCUCAAUGCAUUCCACCAAAAGUUAUUGUCGGAACUAUGUGAAACAGUCUAAGUUCACAUUGCUAUAGUGAAAACAUUUAUGAAAAAGCACAUGUCCCACUCUUAUGAUGUUGAAGAGACUGAAUCUGAUGUCUAGUAGUGUGUUUUGGUUGAUUAUGUUCUUGGGUGUUUAGAAUUUAUAUUUAGACUUUAUUUGUAAGUUUAGAUAUUGUGGUAUACAUGUUUAGACUUUAUUAUAUUAGAGUCGAUGUGUGUCAGCUACUUAGACUUGAUAUUGAAUAUUUAGAUUUUAAUUAAUGUUUUAGUUUGAUA